GCUAAUAUCUAUUAUACAAUUAAAAAAAGAGCAUUUCAUGAAAAACAUUUUUUUUUUAAAUGUUUUAGGUGAUUUUCAAUAUUUUUUAUUCAAUGAUGUAAAUUCAAAUGACAUUUUCCCCUUAAAAGGAGAAGAUAUUAUCCUAGAAGGUAUAUCUCUAUUUUUGCUGACAGUUUUGGUACCACACAGUUCAGACUAAAUGCAUGCCUUCCUGAAGAUAUACACGUUAUCCAAGCUAAACUCUUAAAUACUGAAUUUGGAUUAUAGACAGAGAAAUUGCAACUGUUCACAAUGUUAUAGCCUUUGCUGCCAUCUACUGUAUCAC